rnacentral:rRNA from 1 species
AAUAGAUACCCAGGUAGUCCACGCCGUAAACGAUGUCGACUUGGAGGUUGUGCCCUUGAGGCGUGGCUUCCGGAGCCAACGCGUUAAGUCGACCGCCUGGGGAGUACGGCCGCAAGGUUAAAACUCAAAUGAAUUGACGGGGGCCCGCACAAGCGGUGGAGCAUGUGGUUUAAUUCGAUGCAACGCGAAGAACCUUACCUACUCUUGACAUCCAGAGAACUUGGCAGAGAUGCCUUGGUGCCUUCGGGAACUCUGAGACAGGUGCUGCAUGGCUGUCGUCAGCUCGUGUUGUGAAAUGUUGGGUUAAGUCCCGCAACGAGCGCAACCCUUAUCCUUUGUUGCCAGCGGUCCGGCCGGGAACUCAAAGGAGACUGCCAGUGAUAAACUGGAGGAAGGUGGGGAUGACGUCAAGUCAUCAUGGCCCUUACGAGUAGGGCUACACACGUGCUACAAUGGCGCAUACAAAGAGAAGCGACCUCGCGAGAGCAAGCGGACCUCAUAAAGUGCGUCGUAGUCCGGAUUGGAGU